AUUGAACGCUGGCGGCAGGCUUAACACAUGCAAGUCGAGCGAGCGGCGGACGGGUGAGUAAUGUCUGGGAAACUGCCCGAUGGAGGGGGAUAACUACUGGAAACGGUGGCUAAUACCGCAUACUAUCAGAUGUGCCCAGAUGGGAUUAGCUAGUAGGUGGGGUAAGGGCUCACCUAGGCGACGAUCCCUAGCUGGUCUGAGAGGAUGACCAGCCACACUGGAACUGAGACACGGCCCAGACUCCUACGGGAGGCAGCAGUGGGGAAUAUUGCACAAUGGGCGCAAGCCUGAUGCAGCCAUGCCGCGUGUGUGAAGAAGGCCUUCGGGUUGUAAAGUACUUUCAGCGGGGAGGCGUUACUCGCAGAAGAAGCACCGGCUAACUCCGUGCCAGCAGCCGCGGUAAUAC
rnacentral:rRNA from 1 species